AUUCUGUUGAGAAUCUAAAAAAAUUAGAACAUUCAAUGGGGCUUAUAUUUCAACAACUUAAAAAUUAAGAAAAUUCAAUUGGUAAGGAAAGUACACUUAUGUUUCUUUUUGUUUAAUUUUAACACACAUUUUUUGAUGUUUGUGUGCGGUUUUAUCACUCUAAAAUAAACUGUUUAAUUGAUUAGUAUAUGUUAGUUUAUGUAAAUAUAUUUUUUACCUCCA